AUUGAACGCUGGCGGCAGGCCUAACACAUGCAAGUCGAGCGAGCGGCGGACGGGAGAGCAAUGUAUGUGGCUCUGCCCGAUAGAGGGGGAUCACUACUGGAAACGGUGGCUAAUACCGUCUUCUUUCGCCUGAACCCAUAUGGGAUUAGCUAGUAGGUGGGGUAACGGCUCACCUAGGCGACGAUCCCUAGCUGGUCUGAGAGGAUGACCAGCCACACUGGAACUGAGACACGGCCCAGACUCCUACGGGAGGCAGCAGUGGGGAAUAUUGCACAAUGGGCGCAAGCCUGAUGCAGCCAUGCCGCGUGUAUGAAGAAGGCCUUCGGAUUGUAAAGUACUUUCAGUCGGGAGGCGUUACCGACAGAAGAAGCACCGGCUAACUCCGUGCCAGCAGCCGCGGUAAUAC
rnacentral:rRNA from 1 species